CCAGCAAGGGAGGAGGAAUGGCUCCUGAGGUAAGGAGGUAGUACCUUGGACAGAGCAGUGCUGGGCAGGCUCGGGGGAGCAGAAGAGAACUCUAGCCCGCCAGGCUGCGGCCCCUGACUAGAAGGGCAGAGAAGGUGCAGGGGGCCAAGGGGAAGUGGCCCAGGGAGGAUAGUCAGACAAGGGGAGAGAAGGAGGGUGGAGAGGAUGCCACUAGAGGGUCCCUGGGUCAGGACCCAGAGUAGCAGAUUGGCCUGGGUCCUCCCCUUGUACUGCACCUGGCCGUGGAGGAGUGUGGCUGAGACUGACUGAAACUUGCCCCGGAGGCGAGAGGCUAGACUUUGGGGUUGUGAUUGGCCACUGAGGCAGGUGCAAGCCAAAAGGACUGUUGUUACCCACCCCAACCCCCUGGGAAGUGGGUGAGAGUGGAGUAGUGGGCACUGCCAGAGGGCAGUGCCCUGAAGCGGACACCGCCGAGUGGGGAGCAACACUGUUCCCAAAUCAGAAGAGCAGACAAUGGGUGAGACACCACGUGCAGAGGGCACGCCACAGCUGACAAGAGCUAAUUCUCAGAGCAACUAGCAGGAGACACCAGUGGUGUACUAGAAAAUAAGUUUAACAGCAGCAUGGGCUAGCUAUGAAGUUCCUGAAAGGGCACGACAGAAACUCAGGAGGACCUGGAAUUAAUCAUAGGUCACAGCCUGCAAGUUGAACCUUCAUCAGUGCAAUCUCUAAGAUGUCCUGGAUUGGUACCUUCACGAGGAACACGGCUGAUGAAGCCCGGGCUCUCGUAGAAUGAGUGGUCAUGAUUGCCGGAGGCAGAACCUUCGCCUGCUCACAGCAAGCUCAGAUGCAGACAGUUAUCCAGGACGAGAUGACACAGGAGGACCUUGUGAACCAAGGGGAUCAAUGGGAAGGUACAUCAUUGGCAGUCUGCCCAUGACAACAGGAAGGCAUCGGAGAGAGAGACCAUGCUGUGCCCAUGCAACAAACAGAACUGAUGGCAUUUCCUGUUCUGUCCAUUGGCGAACAGGUCUACUUUUGGAAGCCCCCUGUUCUCGAAGAUGACACUGACAAUCUUCGGGUGAAGAGACCACUUGCGGUGAGAAGAAAAGGAUCUGAUAAGGCAAUCUGCCAGCCAGUGUGUUUCAGGGAGAUGUGACACCUCAAGGUGAAUAGUGUGUUUCAUGAAGAAGUCCCACAGCCGGAGGCUCUCCUGGCACAGGGCUGAAGAAUGAGCCCAUCCCUGCUUGUUGAUGUAAAACAUUGAUGCGGUGCUGUCCGUCAAGACCUGCAUAACUUUGCCUCAGAUCUGGGGAGAUCUGAGACUGCCUGCCAAAUAAACUUUCGUCUGAUCGGG